rnacentral:rRNA from 1 species
AUUGAACGCUGGCGGCAUGCCUUACACAUGCAAGUCGAACGGCAGCACGGGAGCAAUCCUGGUGGCGAGUGGCGAACGGGUGAGUAAUAUAUCGGAACGUGCCCAAUCGUGGGGGAUAACGUAGCGAAAGCUACGCUAAUACCGCAUACGAUCUAUGGAUGAAAGCGGGGGAUCGCAAGACCUCGCGCGAUUGGAGCGGCCGAUAUCAGAUUAGGUAGUUGGUGGGGUAAAAGCCUACCAAGCCUUCGAUCUGUAGCUGGUCUGAGAGGACGACCAGCCACACUGGAACUGAGACACGGUCCAGACUCCUACGGGAGGCAGCAGUGGGGAAUUUUGGACAAUGGGCGCAAGCCUGAUCCAGCAAUGCCGCGUGCAGGAUGAAGGCCUUCGGUUGUAAACUGCUUUGUACGGACGAAACGGUUCUUCUAAUAAAGAGGGCGUAAUGACGGUACCGUAAGAAUAAGCACCGGCUAACUACGUGCCAGCAGCCGC